rnacentral:miRNA from 1 species
UUCCCGACACCACCCAUUCCAU